UACGUAGGGUGCAAGCGUUGUUCGGAUUUACUGGGCGUAAAGCGUGUGUAGGUGGCUAUUUAAGUCAGGUGUCAAAUUCAUCGGCUCAACCGAUGUUCGCACUUGAUACUGAAUGGCUAGAGAGUAGGAGAGGGAAGCGGAACUCAUGGUGUAGCGGUGAAAUGCGUAGAUAUCAUGAGGAACACCAGUGGCGAAGGCGGCUUCCUGGACUAUUUCUGACACUGAGGCACGAAAGCGUGGGGAGC
rnacentral:rRNA from 1 species